rnacentral:ribozyme from 1 species
CCCUUUCAUGUACUGAGCCUCUACGUGGCGAAAGGGAUCAAAUCAACAGACGGAAGUCUGGCUAAUCAGUA